rnacentral:rRNA from 1 species
UACGGAGGGUGCAAGCGUUAUCCGGAUUCACUGGGGUUAAAGGGUGCGUAGGUGGGCAAGUAAGUCAGUGGUGAAAUCUCCGGGCUUAACCCGGAAACUGCCAUUGAUACUAUUUGUCUUGAAUACUGUGGAGGUCAGCGGAAUAUGUCAUGUAGCGGUGAAAUGCUUAGAUAUGACAUAGAACACCAAUGGCGAAGGCAGCUGGCUACACAAAUAUUGACACUGAGGCACGAAAGCGUGGGGAUCAAACAGG